rnacentral:piRNA from 1 species
UAUAGCAAUCUAGUCUUGUUAUGACAGUGG